GCCUGCAACAUAGCGUUAAUGCACCAGAUCCCAUUAGAACUCUGUAGUUAAGCGCACUUAGGCUAGAGUAGUACUGGGAUGAGUGACUUCCCGGGAAGUCCUAGUGUUUUACAUGCC
rnacentral:rRNA from 1 species